CAUACAAAUAUACAAUACCAAUUUUUAAUUCGGCCUCAGAAUAAGAAGUUACGUUUUUUGUUUUGGCGUUAGCGGUAUUGUCAUCGCAACGAAAACAGUAAUAUUAUACAACAAAAAUUGGUCACCAUCGAUGUUCAAUACCGGAAUGGAAUGAAAGAUAUAUUUACACAAUACACACCCAGCACGUUAAACGAUUUUAUACUACUUUUUAAAUGAGUUAACAUCAGAAGCGUGAAUUAUGACGUGUGACCUAACGCUGUCGUUACCAAAUAGU